GGAUGUGAGGGUGGUCUGGCUACAACAUGUGUCCCCCAUUGAUCCCGGGGUUGAGUCAGCUGACCUGACUGGCCAGGCAGGCGUUGCCUUCCUAACACACCACAGGCAUCCCUCCCGAAGCCGAAGCCAAGCACUUAGCGGAAGGGCUGACCCUCUCACCGUUCCUUAGUCAAAGGUGUGAGAGUAGCUGUGGUCCCCUAUGACCUCCAACCAAGCUCUAAAAUAGUAGUGCCAACUUGCGGGAUUGGCCACCACCCAAGGUUUGACUGCAGAAAAAUUAAAUCACCUGCUGGAAUUUGUU
rnacentral:snRNA from 1 species